UACGUAGGGAGCAAGCGUUGUCCGGAAUUACUGGGCGUAAAGGGCGCGUAGGCGGGUAUUUAAGUUAGAUGUGAAAGCCCCAGGCUCAACCUGGGGAUUGCAUUUAAAACUGGGUAUCUUGAGGGCAGGAGAGGAAAGUGGAAUUCCUAGUGUAGCGGUGGAAUGCGUAGAUAUUAGGAGGAACACCAGUGGCGAAGGCGACUUUCUGGACUGUACCUGACGCUGAGGCGCGAAAGCAUGGGGAGCGAACAGG
rnacentral:rRNA from 1 species